UACGUAGGGGGCAAGCGUUGUCCGGAUUUAUUGGGCGUAAAGAGCGUGUAGGCGGCCUGACAGGUCUGCUGUGAAAACUCGAGGCUCAACCUCGAGAUGUCGGCGGAAACCGUCUGGCUAGAGUCCGGAAGAGGAGAGUGGAAUUCCUGGUGUAGCGGUGAAAUGCGCAGAUAUCAGGAAGAACACCCGUGGCUAAGGCGGCUCUCUAGUACGGUACUGACGCUGAGACGCGAAAAGCGUGGGGAGCGAACAGG
rnacentral:rRNA from 1 species